rnacentral:rRNA from 1 species
GCGUUGUUCGGAUUCAUUGGGCGUAAAGGGUGCGUAGGUGGCGCCGUCAGUGGGGUGUGAAAUUUCGGAGCUUAACUCCGAAACUGCAUUCCAUACUGCGGUGCUUGAGGACUGGAGAGGAGACUGGAAUUCAUGGUGUAGCAGUGAAAUGCGUAGAGAUCAUGAGGAAGACCAGUGGCGAAGGCGGGUCUCUGGACAGUUCCUGACACUGAGGCACGAAGGCUAG